AACGAACGCUGGCGGCAGGCCUAACACAUGCAAGUCGAGCGCACCUUCGGGUGAGCGGCGGACGGGUUAGUAACGCGUGGGAAUAUACCCAGUUCUAAGGAAUAGCCUCGGGAAACUGAGAGUAAUACCUUAUACGCCCUUCGGGGGAAAGAUUUAUCGGAAUUGGAUUAGCCCGCGUUAGAUUAGGUAGUUGGUGGGGUAAUGGCCUACCAAGCCUACGAUCUAUAGCUGGUUUGAGAGGAUGAUCAGCAACACUGGGACUGAGACACGGCCCAGACUCCUACGGGAGGCAGCAGUGGGGAAUCUUGGACAAUGGGCGAAAGCCUGAUCCAGCCAUGCCGCGUGAGUGACGAAGGCCCUAGGGUCGUAAAGCUCUUUCAACUGUGAAGAUAAUGACGGUAGCAGUAGAAGAAACCCCGGCUAACUCCGUGCCAGCAGCCGCGGUAA
rnacentral:rRNA from 1 species